AGAUGGAUCAUUCGUAAAUGGGUACAAGUUACUUGGCAAAAAAUGUGGUAUACGACUUAAGCGCAAUGGUGUCCGAUCGCAGUGUGAGCAUGUAGUUGAAAUUUGAUGAUUUUCAGCGAUGGAUGUCUUGGGUCCCGUAACGAUGAAGGGCGCAGCUAGAUGCGAUAUGCAGUUUGACUUGCAAACUUCAGUGAAACAUUAGAUACCUGAACGUAAAAGGUACUUCUGGAUUCGUUCAGGAGUAUGCUCACUUCAGUGCUUCAUAUCAUUGUUAUGGUAACAACGUUACAUAACGUGUAUAGUUGCUGCUAGCGUAGCGGCGACUCAAGUUAAAUUGCAGUGACUUUUGGGUGAUAGAGAGAAGAAGUCCUUAACUGUUAAUUUUUAACAGGAGUCUGAAUUUGAGCCAGAGUACCCGCUGAACUUAAGCAUAUUAUUAAGCGGAGGAGAAGAAACUAACUAGGAUAUCCUUAGUAACUGCGAGUGAACAGGAAAGUGCUCAAACUGAAAAUUGGCAUUUAGUUGUCGAAUUGUAGUUUCAUGAAGUGCAGCUUGUGAUUGUUUUGGGUGAAGUCUCUUGGAACAGAGUACUAAGAAGGGUGAUAGUCCCGUUUUUGCUCAGAAACAAUUACGUUAAGUGCAUUUUCAAAGAGUCGCGUUCUUUGAGAUUAGAGCGCAAAGUCGGUGAUAAAUUUCAUCUAAAGCUAAACAUUAACGGGGUUCCGAUAGCAUACAAGUACCGUGAGGGAAAGAUGAAAAGGACUUUGAAAAGAGAGUUAAAAGGAACUGAAAUUGCUGAAAAGGAAGCAGAGGGUUUUAGCAUUCCAACGAAUCUUGGUGUUGACGUAGCUGUAACGAGCUAUUGUUGAUGCUAAAGUUUUGUGGUGACUUUGGAAGAGAUUAUUCUUCUUGGUUGAAGUACUGAUGUAUUUCCUUAGUGGUUAUACUUCUGUAGUGCUCUAAGUUAGAAUAAUGUGAACUACUAGUGCAGCCUUCGUGGUCGCAUUAUAGUAUUCCGUUGCUUGCUGUUUCUCUCUGUCCCGUCUUGAAACACGGACCAAGGAGUCUACCUUCUGUGCAAGUGCAAUGGUUGAAAACCAAUGCGCGAAAUGAAAGUGACUAUCGAGAAGGGCAACCGCCAUUGAGUCCCGGUUAAAAAGCUGAGGCUGAGCAUAGAGAGUAGGACCCGAAAGAUGGUGAACUAUGCCUGAGUAGGGUGAAGCUAGAGGAAACUCUGGUGGAGGCUCGCAGCGAUACUGACGUGCAAAUCGUUCGUCAAACUUGGGUAUAGGGGCGAAAGACUAAUCGAACUAUCUAGUAGCUGGUUCCCUC
rnacentral:misc_RNA from 1 species